UACGUAGGGGGCGAGCGUUGUCCGGAUUUAUUGGGCGUAAAGAGUUCGUAGGCGGUUUGUCGCGUCGUUUGUGAAAACCCGGGGCUCAACUUCGGGCUUGCAGGCGAUACGGGCAGACUUGAGUGUUUCAGGGGAGACUGGAAUUCCUGGUGUAGCGGUGAAAUGCGUAGAGAUAUGGAGAACACCAGUGGCGAAGGCGACGUUCUGUCUGUUAACGUGACACUGAGGCGCGAAAGCGUGGGGAGC
rnacentral:rRNA from 1 species